rnacentral:rRNA from 1 species
UGGGGAAUAUUGGACAAUGGAGGAAACUCUGAUCCUGCAAUUCUGUGUGUGUGAAGAAGGUUUUAGGACUGUAAAACACUUUUAGUAGGGAAGAAAAAAAUGACGGUACCUACAGAAGAAGCAACGGCUAAAUACGUGCCAGCAGCCGCGGUAAUACGUAUGUUGCGAGCGUUAUCCGGAAUUAUUGGGCUUAAAGGGCAUCUAGGCGGUAAGACAAGUUGAAGGUGAAAACCUGUGGCUCAACCAUAGGCUUGCCUACAAAACUGUUGAACUAGAGUACUGGAAAGGUGGGUGGAACUACACGAGUAGAGGUGAAAUUCGUAGAUAUGUGUAGGAAUGCCGAUGAUGAAGAUAACUCACUGGACAGAAACUGACGCUGAAGUGCGAAAGCUAGGGGAGCAAACAGG